rnacentral:rRNA from 1 species
UACGAAGGGGGCUAGCGUUAUCCGGAUUUAUUGGGCGUAAAGCGCACGCAGGCGGUCCGCCAAGUUCACUGCGACAGUCACCGGCUCAACCGGUGAAGGACGGUGAAAACUGGCAGACUUGAGAGCGAGAGAGGGACAUGGAACUCCAGGUGGAGCGGUGAAAUGCGUAGAGAUCUGGAAGAACACCGAAGGCGAAGGCCGUGUCCUGGCUCGUAUCUGACGCUCAGGGGCGAAAGCUAGGGGAG